AUUGAACGCUGGCGGAAUGCUUUACACAUGCAAGUCGAGCGGCAGCGCGGGGCAACCUGGCGGCGAGCGGCGAACGGGUGAGUAAUGCAUCGGAACAUGUCCAUGUCGUGGGGGAUAGCCCGGCGAAAGCCGGAUUAAUACCGCAUACGCCCGAGAGGGGAAAGUGGGGGACCGCAAGGCCUCACGCGAUUGGGUUGGCCGAUGUCCGAUUAGCUUGUUGGUGAGGUAAAGGUUUACCGAGGCGAUGAUCGGUAGCUGGUCUGAGAGGAUGAUCAGCCACACGGGGACUUAGACACGGCCCAGACUCCUACGGGAGGCAGCAGUGGGGAAUUUUGGACAAUGGGGGCAACCCUGCUCCAGCCAUUCCGCGUGAGUGAAGAAGGCCUUCGGGUUGUAAAGCUCUUUUGUCCGGAGCGAAACGGUCACGGUGAAUAUCCGUGACUACUGACGGUACCGGAAGAAUAAGCACCGGCUAACUACGUGCCAGCCGCCGCCGUAACAC
rnacentral:rRNA from 1 species